GUCAUCUUUUAAAGUUAUUAUGACCCUAACAGUUUACCAACAAGGAAAACUGUGACUAAGUCAGAUUAAUUGAACUGGUUCUGCCAGUAAGCCCUAGGAGCUUGUUUAGCUAAUUAUGAUCAAAAGUGCUGAAGACUGUCCAUAAUGGAUGAUUCUGGAGACCAGCCUGUCCUCUUCCAAUUAAAAGUGCAACUUCCAGUUAAAAGUCUGCAUGUUUAUGCUCUGGGAAGCAAUGGCAGUUUUUGAGCUGGAAAGUUGCUUAAGACCUUACACAACUGAAAAGCAGAACUAGUGGCUUAUAAGCAGUGGAAAAACAAGACUGGCUAGGAAGAGCCUAAGGACCUUUUCAAUGAUUUUGGAUCUUUUGCCACAAUAUGCUUUCAGUUAUUUGAUCACCAAAAUGUACCUUUUUUUUCCAUUGAAGGAUUUGCAUAAACUAUCUGUUUGGCUGGCCCAACUACUUGGAGAGUUUGCAGUAUAAAAACAGCACAAAAGGGUGGAGCGUGUCCACACUGGGCAAGAGAUUGACAAGCCCAUUUGUCACACCCAGGGGUUUAAUACUGAUGCAAAAGCUGUUGGUGAAUCAUGGAAUUGAGGGACCCCUUUGGGGAAACUUGUGGACAUGUGAGAAUGGAAGACAAUCACCCUGUGACACCACACUGACUUCACACCAUGUGAACCACAGCAGAGGUGGCAAGCACAACCUUGUGAUGCUGGAUGCAUAACUGAGUUACCACCUGAGGAUGCGCAUCUCUUGGGAACAUCAUCUUUCACUGCCACACUUCCUCACACCAUGCAGCCAAUCAAAGUGUUUCUCCCAACAAACACAGAGCCCUCAACCUGAGAAGAAUUCUGUCUUAGAGGAUGAAUGGACAAAAGAGCUUCAACUCCCAGUGUUGCUGGUACUGCAUGACUUUGGUGGACAACAGCUACAGACAGUGCCCAGACCAGUGGAAGCAGUGGUGAGUUGUCUCUUUGAGGCUGUGUAGAAUCUAAUGGUUUUGGCAGCAGAUAUAUAGAUAGGAAUCCAAAAGUAGAGUGAAAGACUGAGAAUAUAGUGGAAUUUGUUUUAUAGCUAAAAGUGCUAUGAUUAUGAACCAUUAAGUAGACACUCAAAGGGGACUCCCAAGAUUGGGACAGUGGAGUUAAGCUUCCACAAUCAACUCAGCAGCCAAAGUAAAAGAAAAUACUGUUUGAAAAUUAAAAAACAAAAACUCCCCUUGUCAAAGUUGCCUGCAGAAACGUGGAUAUGUAGAAAACAGGUUUCACUGGUGUUGCUUCAUGGACACUCUUAACUCCACAAAGGA
rnacentral:lncRNA from 1 species